UACCAGAUAGCUCAGUUGGUAGAGCACCUGACUGGAUAUUCAGGGUCAGGGGUUCGAAUCCUGACCUGGUUC
rnacentral:tRNA from 1 species